UUUCCAGCCUCGAGUUUGUGUUUAAAGGAUAUUUUCAGAUAAUUUAAUCCAGUCAAAACAUGAGAUUCCACAAGGUUUAAUUUCAUUUCAUUGCAUGGUGGGAAUGGAAAAACAUCAAAAAAACAUUUAAAGCAUCAAAAAAACAUUUAAAGCAUCAAAAAAACAUUUAAAGCAUCAAAAAAACAUUUAAAUCUCACUGAAAAACCCCAUUUUGAGAUCCUAAAAUCUCAGUUUUCAGUGAUUUUUGUGUUUCUGCAGCUCAGUUUGGUCUUUGCUUAAAUCUGGAAUUCUCCUUAAAUUAAGGAAAUUUAAUUUCCUUAAAUCUGGAAUUCUCCUUAAAUUAAGGAAAUUUAAUUUCCUUAAAUCUGGAAUUCUCCUAGAGGGGAUAAAAAGGGAUGAAAUUCCCAAGAAUUGCAGAAUUCCAUGGAAAAAAACAGGAAUCUCCAUAUGGCAGCUCUAAAUCCAGUUAGGACGAGGAGCUGGAAUUAUAUUUAAUUGUUAUUUUUAAUAUUUCAGAUAUUAAAUGGAGGAAAAACAUUGGAAGUGAGAGGAGGACAAGCAGACCCCAAACCCUGAGGGGGUUCAGAUCAUUUCAUUGCAUGGUGAGAAUGGAAAAACAUCAAAAAAACAUUUAAAGCAUCAAAAAAACAUUUAAAGCAUCAAAAAAACAUUUAAAGCAUCAAAAAAACAUUUAAAUCUCACUGAAAAACCCCAUUUUGAGCUCCCAAAAUCUCAGUUUUUGGUGAUUUUUGUGUUUCUGCAGCUCAGUUUGGUCUUUGCUUAAAUCUGGAAUUCUCCUUAAAUUAAGGAAAUUUAAUUUCCUUAAAUCUGGAAUUCUCCUAGAGGGGAUAAAAAGGGAUGAAAUUCCCAAGAAUUGCAGAAUUCCAUGGAAAAACAGGAAUCUCCAUAUGGCAGCCCUAAAUCCAGUUAGGAUGAGGAGCUGGAAUUAUAUUUAAUUGUUAUUUUUAAUAUUUCAGAUAUUAAAUGGAGGGAAAACAUUGGAAGUGAGAGGAGGACAACCAGACCCCAAACCCUGAGGGGGUUCAGAUCAUUUCAUUGCAUGAUAUUAAAUGGAGGAAAAACAUUGGAAGUGAGAGGAGGACAACCACACCCCAAACCCUGAGGGGGUUCAGAUCAUUUCAUUGCAUGGUGAGAAUGGAAAAACAUAAAAAAAAAACAUUUAAAGCAUCAAAAAAACCAUUUAAAGCAUCAAAAAAACAUUUAAAGCAUCAAAAAAAACAUUUAAAUCUCACUGAAAAACCCCAUUUUGAGAUCCUAAAAUCUCAAUUCUCGGUGAUUUUUGUGUUUCUGCAGCUCAGUUUGGUCUUUUCUUAAAUCUGGAAUUCUCCUUAAAUUAAGGAAAUUUAAUUUCCUUAAAUCUGGAAUUCUCCUAGAGGGGAUAAAAAGGGAUGAAAUUCCCAAGAAUUGCAGAAUUCCAUGGAAAAAACAGGAAUCUCCAUAUGGCAGCCCUAAAUCCAGUUAGGAUGAGCAGCUGGAAUUAUAUUUAAUUGUUAUUUUUAAUAUUUCAGAUAUUAAAUGGAGGAAAAAUAUUGGAAGUGAGAGGAGGACAACCAGACCCCAAACCCUGAGGGGGUUCAGAUCAUUUUAUUGCAUGGUGAGAAUG